rnacentral:rRNA from 1 species
GACGAACGCUGGCGGCGUGCUUAACACAUGCAAGUCGAACGAUGAAGCCUUCGGGUGGAUUAGUGGCGAACGGGUGAGUAACACGUGGGUGAUCUGCCCUGCACUUUGGGAUAAGCCUGGGAAACUGGGUCUAAUACCGGAUAGGACCACGGCCUGCAUGGGUUGUGGUGGAAAGCUUUUGCGGUGUGGGAUGGGCCCGCGGCCUAUCAGCUUGUUGGUGGGGUGAUGGCCUACCAAGGCGUCGACGGGUAGCCGGCCUGAGAGGGUGUCCGGCCACACUGGGACUGAGAUACGGCCCAGACUCCUACGGGAGGCAGCAGUGGGGAAUAUUGCACAAUGGGCGCAAGCCUGAUGCAGCGACGCCGCGUGGGGGAUGACGGCCUUCGGGUUGUAACCGUACUUUCUAGCACAGACGAAGACGUGAGUGACGGUAUGUGCAGAAGAAGACACGGCCAACUACGUGCCAGCAGCCGCGGU